GAUGAAGAACGCAGCGAAAUGCGAUAAGUAGUGUGAAUUGCAGAAUUCAGUGAAUCAUCGAAUCUUUGAACGCACAUUGCGCCCCUUGGUAUUCCAUGGGGCAUGCCUGUUCGAGCGUCAUUUGUACCUUCAAGCUCUGCUUGGUGUUGGGUGUUUGUCUCGCCUCUGCGUGUAGACUCGCCUCAAAACAAUUGGCAGCCGGCGUAUUGAUUUCGGAGCGCAGUACAUCUCGCGCUUUGCACUCAUAACGACGACGUCCAAAAGUACAUUUUUUCCCUCUUGACCUCGGAUCAGGUAGGGAUACCCGCUGAACUUAAGCAUAUCAAUAAGCGGAGGA
rnacentral:misc_RNA from 1 species